AAUCCUCCGGUGUGAACUCCCAGGGCUGUUGAUGCUUCAUCUACUCUUCUGGCAGUGGGGGCCUGGACCUUAGUUACCCGGGGAGCGUGAGUCAUGUUGCACAGUUGAGCUGGCACAUAAAACUGCGAGUCACACCAGAAGAGGGCAUUGGAUCCCACUAUAGACUGUUGUGAGCCACCUUGUAGUUGCUGGGAAUUGAACUCAGAAACUCUGGAAGAGCAGUUGAUGCUCUUAACUGCUGAGUCAUCUCUCCAGCCCCAGCUCCUGCUCCCUAACCUGCUUGAGUUCCAGUCCUGACUUCUUUCAGUGAUGAACAGCAAUGUGGAAAUGUGUUCUGCCCAGUUUAUAGAACAAGGAAUUGGAGCUUGGAGAAGAUUGAUGGACCACUCAAGUUCCCUGGAUGGUCCAGGAUUCAGACUGAGGAUGGCCUAAAACGUUAGUUUUGCUGGCUCCCUGUGCUUGGCUAACCUUAGAGCCUCUUACCUUACCAUAGUCUUUUCUAUGAAGGACAGAGAUCCAAGGAGUGGAUCAACAUGCCUGAGUUUACACAGUGGACCUGAGGACCUUCACCUCCCAGUGCAAUGCUCCUGUGUACUGCCACUGAAGAGACAGGUGGGAGGGAGCUCAAGGUUGACUUGCCUAACAACCAUUGCUUGAAAGACAAAGCUCCCAAGGAGAGCACAAGAUCCCUCACUCGAGACUCCUCUGCAUCACCAACCAGUGUGAACAAAGCCUGCAGCUGUCAGCAGAGUAUUCUUUGUCUCGGUGGUGACACGCUGUGCCUACAGUUGAACU
rnacentral:lncRNA from 1 species